rnacentral:rRNA from 1 species
UACGGGGGGAGCAAGCGUUGUUCGGAUUUACUGGGCGUAAAGGGCGCGUAGGCGGUCAGCACAAGUCAGUUGUGAAAUCUCCGGGCUUAACUCGGAAAGGUCAACUGAUACUGUGCGACUAGAGUGCGGAAGGGGCAACUGGAAUUCUCGGUGUAGCGGUGAAAUGCGUAGAUAUGCGGAGGAACACCGAUGGCGAAGGCAAUCCCCUGGGCCUGCACUGACGCUCAUGCACGAAAGCGUGGGGAGCAAACAGG